rnacentral:rRNA from 1 species
UACAGAGGGUGCGAGCGUUAAUCGGAAUCAUUGGGCGUAAAGGGCGCGUAGGCGGCCGUCCAAGUCGGGUGUGAAAUCCCUCGGCUCAACCGAGGAACUGCACUCGAUACUGGUCGGCUAGAGUCCGGGAGGGGAUGGUGGAAUUCCCAGUGUAGCGGUGAAAUGCGUAGAUAUUGGGAAGAACACCGGUGGCGAAGGCGGCCAUCUGGACCGGAACUGACGCUGAGGCGCGAAAGCCAGGGGAGCGAACAGG